rnacentral:tRNA from 1 species
ACCUGGCUGGCUCAGUUGGUGGAGUAUGAGACUCUCGAUCUCAGGGUUGUGAGUUCAGGUCCCACAUUGGGUG